rnacentral:rRNA from 1 species
UACGAAGGGGGCUAGCGUUGUUCGGAAUUACUGGGCGUAAAGCGUAUGCAGGCGGAUCGUUAAGUCGGGGGCUCAACCCUCGAAUGCCGGUGGAUACUGUCGGGCUAGAGUGCGGAAGAGGCGAGUGGAAUUCCUGGUGUAGCGGUGAAAUGCGCAGAUAUCAGGAGGAACACCAAUUGCGAAGGCAGCUCGCUGGGACGUAACUGACGCUGGAGAACGGCGAAGGCCGUGGGGAGCAAACAGG